CAUGUACUCCCUCCGUCACAUAUUAAGUGGCUUUCUAUUACAUGUAUCUAAAAACAUUUUAAGCAUAAAUACAUCCAUACUUGGACAAAUUGGAGUCACUUAAUAUGGGACGGAGGGAGUAUAUG
rfam:Brachypodium distachyon strain Bd21 chromosome 2, whole genome shotgun sequence.